AAAAAAUAGAUUUGCAUUUCCUGAAGGAAAUACCAGCGAUUGCAAGGCAGGUUCUGUGUGACUGAAAUGCCAAAUUAGAGCCACUUCAGCAAACGAAAACAACAGCGAUAUUUUGCAGCGUUGGAGGGCUGUGAUUGUGUUCCACUGGAGGAAAGUAGGCGGGUUCUUUCUCUUCCCGACCCCCUGCGCUGGAGUAAAACCCCGCCCUCUCCUCGCUCCACCCACUCGCAGCGGUCGGCUCCGCCCUCUGAGCGCCGGGAGUUCUGUCUGGUUGGUGUUCUUGGAGGGCGACCGUUCUUCUCAUCUAGCGUGGAGCAAAAAAAGGCUGUGGAAGAGUGGAAGCAUGCUGGAAAAAUGCAUAACAUGGAGAAGGAGAUGUCUACCUGGAAUUUGACGGGUUUCUGGAAGACAGACGGACCUCCAGAAGACUUGUACUCUGCUCGGAAACUCGUCUGAGAGAUUACGCUGUGACUGAGGGAGGGAAUCUGAAG